rnacentral:pre_miRNA from 11 species
GCGGCAGCGAGCGCAAAAGUAAUCACAGAACCGGUUUUCAUUUUCGAUCUGACUUAUUUGAUUUAACAAGAGUGAGAUCAUUUUGAAAGCUGAUUUUGUACGGAGAUUCCAACCCCAUGCGCACG